GUAAGCAAAAAAAAAAAAUUAAAAAAAUGUAUUCUUCUUCUUCUUCUUCAUCAACAAAUCGAUCUCUGAGAGUGAAAAUUCCGGCGAUCGGAGAAGGAAAAUUGACAAUAAACGUGAAAUCUCCGACGUCGGAGAUGUAUAUAGAGGUUAGAGAAGCAGAUAAAGUGAAAGAUUUGGAGAAAUUGAUUAAAAAAGCAUGGGGAGAUAAUGAUAAUUAUAUAUCACUUUAUUACAAAUCAAUUAAAAUGAAAAGUGAUUAUUUAUUAUCUUAUUAUAAUUUGAGAGAUGGCUCUAUUGUUACUGUCACUCUUCUUGCUGAACCCCCUCAUCAUCAUCUUCAUCAUCAAUCGAAAUCUUCAUGUGAAACCAAGAAAAAUGCCAAAUUUCAACAGGAAAUAAGCAGCAGCUCCAAUGGGGAAAAUGGUUGUGGCGAUUUUUGGUUCCAUAUGGCUAAGAUGUUAUCUCAAUUUUGCUCUUCCAUAUUUUCAAGUCAUUAAUUAAUUACUCAUAUUAUAAUUUGUAUAUUUGGGACCUUUCCCGGAUUCUGCGCAUAACAAGAGUUUAAGUGCACCGGACUGCCCUAUAAUUUAUAUAUCUGAGAAAAGCGGAAAGAGUUAGGAGGAUGAAUCGUCCUUAGUCCUAAGUUCAGUGAGACACCCCAGAAGGUUGGCGCGGAAGUUAGGCUUGGUGACCAAGCCAUCCAAAAGAAAGGUAGUUUCAAGUACCUUGGGUCUAUCAUGGAAGACAACGGGGAGAUUGACGACGAUGUCACACAUCGUAUUGGGGCAGGGUGGAUGAAAUAGAGGCUCGCUUCCGGAGUGCUCUGUGACAAGAAGGUGUCACCACAACUUAAGGGCAAGUUCUACAAAGUGGUUGUUAGAUCGGCUAUGUUAUAUGGGGCGGAGUAUUGGCCAAUUAAGGUCUCUCACGUUCAAAAGAUGAAAUUAGUCGAGAUGAGAAUGUUGAUAUGGAUGUGUGGGCAUACCAGGAGCGACAGGAUUAGAAAUAAGGCUAUUCGGGACAAGGUAGGAGUGGCCUCGGUGGAAGACAAGAUGCGGAAAAUGUGACUUAGAUGAUUUGGGCAUGUGAAGAGGAGAGACACAGAUGCCCCAGUGGGGAGGUGUGAGAGGUUGGCCAUGGAUGGUUUCAGAAGAGGUAGGGGUAGGCCGAAGAAAUAUUGGGGAGAGGUGAUUAGACAAGACAUGACGCAGUUACAGCUUACCGAGGACAUGACCUUAGAUAGGAGUGUGUGGAAGACCCACAUUAGGAUAGAAGGCUAGUACAUAGUCUCGUUAUUCUACCAUAUUAGUAGGCACAUUAGCUCACUAUAAUUUCCUUUGUGGAGGACUCAGAUUAGGAUAAAAGGUUAGGUGAUUCAUCCUUUGCACCAUAGUAGUUGUAGUUUUGCUCAUUGUUUAUUGCCAUUUGACUUCUGCAUUGUAUUGUUGUUUAUAGUUGUGGCGCCGUUGUACUUUGACUAUCUUAUUUAUCUUAUCUUAUCUUAUUU